rnacentral:lncRNA from 1 species
AAACACAGACCUUUACAGAGAGUUCAGACAAGAAACAAACGAAGCCGAAGCAUCGAUGGAGAUAGCCGCCACGAGCACUGUCACUCUUGCUUCGCCGCAACCACGCCAAUUCUCACAUACCUUCUCUAGAUCGUUACCUUCUCUUCGUUUCAACCUCUCCGGGAGGAGAAACCUUUCCUUCAAAAGCACUAACCUUCGCGUCUCAGCGACCUCCAUGAGCGCCUUCGCCGCCGAGAAACUCUCGCCGGAAACCUUCCUCGACAAAAAGGAAACCGGAAUCCUCCACUUCGUCAAGUACCACGGCCUUGGAAACGAUUUCAUUCUGGUAGACAAUAGGGACUCCUCAGAGCCUAAGAUUACUCAGGAGCAAGCUGUGAAGCUCUGUGAUCGAAACUUCGGCGUUGGUGCUGACGGAGUCAUUUUUGCGAUGCCUGGCGUUAAUGGUGCUGAUUACACUAUGAGGAUAUUCAACUCAGAUGGUAGUGAACCUGAGGUACGAAGUGUUUUGAUUAAUCCUCUGUUUUUGUUAGAAAAUACUCUGUUUUUGGUAUUAAAGACUCUGUUUUUGGUAUUAAAGACUCUGUUUUUGUUAGAAAAGACUCUGCUUUUGUUAGAAAAGACUCUGUUUUUGUUAUUAAAGACUCUGUUUUUUUAUUAGAAAGCUAUAAAGACUCUGUUUUUUUGUUAGAUGUGUGGAAAUGGAGUUAGAUGCUUUGCAAGAUUCAUUGCUGAGAUUGAGAAUCUACAGGGAAAGCAUAGGUAUUGUAAUCAGAAAUAAUGAUUAAAAAGUGUCACACUUGCUCAUGCUUUUGUUCAUUGCAGUUUUACAAUACAUACUGGUGCUGGUCUGAUCAUUCCAGAGAUUCAAGAUCAUGGGCAGGUAAAAAGUUAUAUUCCUGAGAAAGUUUUGUUUUGUUCUUCUCUGUUUUAACUGGAUUGGUGUUGAUACAGGUUAAGGUUGAUAUGGGGGAACCGAUCCUUAGAGCAGAGGAUGUGCCUACGAGGUUGCAAGGGAACAAAGGUGAGUCUGUUGUUGCGGCGGAGCUGGUUGUUGAUGGAGUGAGCUGGAAUGUGACGUGUGUAAGCAUGGGGAACCCUCACUGUAUCACAUUUGGCACUAAGGACGGACAGGUACAUACUUAGAAAGAAGGACUUUCUGUAUGUAAGCAAAUUGAGUUUGUGAUUUUCGGUUUUGCAUCGGUCCAGGAUCUGAGAGUUGAUGAGCUGAAGUUGUCAGAGAUUGGUCCUAAGUUCGAGCAUCAUGAGAUGUUCCCUGCUAGAACCAACACAGGUUGGUGGAGAUUUACAUAGAAGUGUCACUGGCGGUUACAUUGCCAUUGUCUGUUCUCAUAUCUCUUUGAACUUUAUCUGCAGAGUUCGUGGAGGUCUUGUCACGUUCACAUUUAAAAAUGCGUGUCUGGGAGCGUGGGGCAGGUUAGCCAAGUCCAAAAUCUAUUUUUUAGUUAUAUAUAUCCUUAUCAUAUAGUACUAAAAUGUAUUCAAACUGCAGGAGCAACUUUGGCUUGUGGAACAGGAGCUUGUGCUUUAGUUGUUGCAGCGGUCCUUGAAGGUCGAACAGACAGGGUAAGUUUGAAUAACUUUUUUCAUUUUAAAGUAUGAUGAUGAAUCCCAUAGUUAUUAAUUACAAUUUUGGUUCAGUAGCAAUAUCUCAUACAUGUUUGUAUUUAUGGUGGAACAGAAAUGCACGGUGGAUCUACCUGGUGGACCGUUGGAGAUAGAGUGGAAAGAGGAAGACAACCAUAUUUACAUGACUGGUCCUGCGGAUUUGGUGUUCUACGGUUCAGCUCUUCUUUAAUGGAAGAGGUAGCUACUGUGUUGUUGUGAUCUUGAGUCUUAAUAUGCCCAUCUUGAUCUCUGUUGUCUUCUGCAUUGUGUAUCACGAAACAUUUGAUGCACUUCUCUUAUUGUUUCUGCUAAUUGUGUUUUCCUUUUGUUAAAACAGAUUACUCUAUAUGAUUUGUUAUAAACUUACCACAAAGGUUAUUUUGUGUAUUAUGUAUUUCGUAAAACGAAACCACUUUUCAUUUCAUGUUAAAUCUUUAACUAAUGGAGAAUUAUAACAGCUCGAUUAUUGGACAUUUCUUCAAUAAUAUGUCUGUAUAAUAGUAAAGCUUUUCGUGUUUCAAAAAAAAAAAAAAAAGAUGAUCGGGAAUUAUUUAGAUUUAAUACUAUCAUUUAAAAUAUAUUUUGAAUUUAAAAUUAGAAGUUAAUAAUAUCUCUAAUUCUAAAAUGAAAUUUAGUCUUUGAAAUAAUUUGUAAGUUUAAAAUUAAAUACUAUAUUAAAAACAUGUAAUUAAAUAUUUGAAAUAAGUAUUUAAAUUUUAAAUAUUUAUUUCAUUUACUAAUUUGGAUUAUUGAACUUUGAUGAAUUAUUCUUUUUUUUUUUUGUUUUUACAAUACCUGUUUGGAUUUUAUUAAUAAUGUUUCAGAUUUAUAUACAUUUUACCAAAUUUCAUUCAUGUAUUUUUGCAAUUCAAAUUGGGUAUGGGUUUAAGUUUUUCGGUUUGGAUCUUGGUUUUCUGAUUUUAUUUUGAGUUUUUUUUUUUUAUUUGUGGCGUUGCGUUUUAAACGUUUUUUAUUUUGCCUCGACCCGGUUGACCCGUGAUCCGAAAGGGCCAAAACACAGACCUUUACAGAGAGUUCAGACAAGAAACAAACGAAGCCGAAGCAUCGAUGGAGAUAGCCGCCACGAGCACUGUCACUCUUGCUUCGCCGCAACCACGCCAAUUCUCACAUACCUUCUCUAGAUCGUUACCUUCUCUUCGUUUCAACCUCUCCGGGAGGAGAAACCUUUCCUUCAAAAGCACUAACCUUCGCGUCUCAGCGACCUCCAUGAGCGCCUUCGCCGCCGAGAAACUCUCGCCGGAAACCUUCCUCGACAAAAAGGAAACCGGAAUCCUCCACUUCGUCAAGUACCACGGCCUUGGAAACGAUUUCAUUCUGGUAGACAAUAGGGACUCCUCAGAGCCUAAGAUUACUCAGGAGCAAGCUGUGAAGCUCUGUGAUCGAAACUUCGGCG